GGUGAGUAACGCGUGAGAAUCUACCUCUAGGAGGGGGAUAACAGUUGGAAACGAUUGCUAAAACCCCAUAUGCCAUUAUUGGUGAAAAAGGUUUAUCUGCCUGGAGAUGAGCUCGCGGCUGAUUAGCUAGUUGGUAAGGUAAUGGCUUACCAAGGCGACGAUCAGUAGCUGGUCUUAGAGGAUGAUCAGCCACACUGGAACUGAGAUACGGUCCAGACUCCUACGGGAGGCAGCAGUGGGGAAUUUUCCACAAUGGGCGAAAGCCUGAUGGAGCAAUACCGUGUGAGGGAUGAAGGCCUGUGGGUUGUAAACCUCUUUUUUCAGGAAAGAAAAUUUGACGGUACCUGAAGAAUAAGCAUCGGCUAACUCCGUGCCAGCAGCCGCGGUAAUACGGAGGAUGCAAGCGUUAUCCGGAAUCACUGGGCGUAAAGCGUCUGUAGGUGGUUUAUCAAGUCUGUUGUUAAAGCUUGAGGCUUAACCUCAAAAAAGCAGUGGAAACUGAUAGACUAGAGAAUGGUAGGGGCAGAGAGAAUUCUCAGUGUAGCGGUGAAAUGCGUAGAUAUUGAGAAGAAUACCGAUAGCGAAGGCGCUCUGCUGGGCCAUUGCUGACACUCAGAGACGAAAGCUAGGGGAGCAAAUGGGAUUAGAUACCCCAGUAGUC
rnacentral:rRNA from 1 species